AAAACAUGUGCCGUGCUGAGGUGCCGCUACAGUAUCAAACGAAGGCAGUGUGUGGGUACGUACAACUACUGCGAGUGCGUAGCGUAGUGGCCUAGUACUCCUAUUUCUUCUAUAUAACAAAGCCGGUUAGAAACAGUGCACAAGAGUGUGUCCACGUCAGCUAAAAAUCGGUGUUCAUCCGAUACUACAUCAACGGCUGAGGAAGCACCUCGUGGCAACGCAACUGAAACAUAGGUGGGAAAAGACUGUCUCCCGCAGCGGCUGUUCAGCUUGCUUUCCUCACGCGGCUGGAGACUUCUAGGCUGCUUCCAUAUGCGUGCGAGUGCCAGCCGUUACGGAGCAAAAAAGCUUUGCCAGCCUUACCGUCCCUACGGCACGACGUCUCUAACGUCGGCGACCGCGACGACGACGCCCCCGCGUAUCCCCUCCUCGCGUGCUCCGUUCGCAAACGCUGCCUCCAUCUCCUGCAGGUGCGGCCAUCCUGUCACCCCCAAAAAUCUCAGAAUCGUAGCUAUUAGGGUUUCUACCUGUCGAUCUAGAAAUAAACCAUCCGUCCGAACGCGCUGCGGAGGUUGGUGGCACGGCGAGGCUGUGGCUAUUCGUGUCCGGAGACGAGCAGCGUGAGAUAACACGGCUCCACCUCCUACCCCUCCCAAUCGACGCAAGCCUCUACUGCGAACCCGUGAAGAAAUGCGCGGACGACACCGAAGCCACGCCGCCGCGCUCAUGCACCCGCACGACCGACGAUGGCCGCUUGAUGCAAUAUCCGACGACAAAGAAAAAGGUCCAGAGACACAAUUGAAUUGCCGUCCAAAAGAUCACAUUCUGCAACAAUAUCUCCUACAUUAAUUAUUUUAUGCUUUCCAUGAUAUCGUCAUUCCAGUUUUCCUUCUUAAUUACUGAGACCAUAUACCUGAUCUUCUUUGUACUACAUUUCAAUGACAUAUGUUUUUAUCUUCAUGUACAACAUGUUAUACAAUGUUCUCUAUUCUAUUCAAGUUCAUCCCAAACGUGAUACCAUAUAAAAAUACAUAUAAAGGAAAUAGGCUAAAUGUGAUGGACACUUAUACUAAACGUAUCAAUCUCUGCAUUUUCCCUGUUUCUUUGUUUUUUAUUAUUUGUUGCAACGAUCUGGCAUUAUUUGUGAAAAUAUAUAUAAAUAACUUGCUAAUUUUUUAAAAUAUGUGCCCAAAAUGAUACAAAUACAACUCACUCCAUAAAUGAAGGUACAAAGAAUAGUCCAUUAACAUUUUUUACAAUUCGGCUGAAGGUUCAAGCAAGGACCCUUGCGCAUCAGUGAAGAAACGGACAAUAAAAUCUUCCAAGAACUAAAAGAUUCCCUCGUAUCACCGCCAGUCUUUUGAGUUGUGGGAUAUUUAUUUUGUAUUAUCUAUGUAAUGAUAUGUAUAUAUGUUUUUUUAAAACAAUUUGUUUAAAUAUAACAAACUAACUCCAGAUAUUGCAACAGACAUAUUAACCCUUGGUAUGUCUCACCUAACUUUAUUUUAGAUAAACCUAUCUAUUCUAGACUCUACUCAUAUGUUCUGUGUUUGGUGUGAGUAUAUUAAUUACAAUAAGUACAAAUAGUUUGCUUACAAUCAAUAUAACAUAUUUAAUAUUAAAAUUACAAAACAUUUGUGUUAUGCUGUAAAUAGAUUAUAUUGAACAAACCUAUUCACUUAUUGUAAACAGAUUCAUCUUGUCCCUGUAUUACAAUAUUUAGCAAAUUAAAUAAACUAAAAAUGUUACAGUUUGUUUAACCUGUAAACAGAUUUAAAUAUCGUUUUUUGCACCAAAUUUGUUUCCUCAUUAAUUCAAAGGUCCAUAUACACUAAAAUUAUUUUUCCCUUAAUUCAAAGAGACUUAGUUCUCUUGUGUUUUUUGGGAAAACAAAGAUGUCUAAAAUUUUGCACUUCGUUGCCAGGACUGUUUUGUAGUCUUGGUGCUUUGUUGUAAUCAGAUUCAUCUUGUCCUUGUAUUAUAGCCAUUAGCAAAGUAAUUCAAAUAAAAUUUUGCAGUUUGUUUGCAUUCUGUAAACAGUUUUAACAUCAUUUUUUGCUCUAAAUAUGUUUUCUCAUUAGUUCAAAGGUCAAUGUGCACUAAAUAUGUUUUACCUUAAUUCAAGGAGAUUAUGUUCUUCUUUAUUUUUGGGAAAACAAAGAUUAUCUCAGAUUUGUCCUUCAUCCGUUUUCCAUGCUUCUAUAUACAAUUGUGCUUUGGAAAAAUUUGGGAGCCCUUAAAACCAAACUAACCCACUUCAGCCAAUGUUUUUUUUUCUUAUUUUAGUUUUUAGGUGAAAUGAACAAGCUUGUAUGCUUUAACCAUGCUAUUUCAUGGAUGUUGGCUAACCACUCCAUAAAGUCAGCUUAAUGUCCUUUGCGUCCAAACUGGAAAAUGUUUGCUUGCUAAUUGGUGCCUUGGCGCUAGCUAGAAAAGUGGGGGAUGCCUGUGAUAUACAUUGCUCAAUUUGAUGAUCCUGUUUCAAAAUUCUUAAACCAUUAUGUAUAUCAACUUCCAUUUAGCAUUGAUGCUACCCUCUCCUGGUAGUAUAUGAAUACUAGCAGGAUAAAUGAACUGAAAUUUUGCAGACAAUGUUUUCCUUUUUUUGGUUUGUUUUAAGAUGAGGUGAACACGCAUGUAUGUAUGUUGUAACCAUGCGACAAGUUUCUAACAAAACAUCUCAUUAAUGUAGUCUAUCUGCUCAUAUGUUAGUUUGAUGUCAUUUGCGUCCAACAAAAAAGAAAAAAGUUUGCUUCUUCGGAAAAUAUCUCAUGAAUGUAGGCUAAGCACUCCAUAAUAUCAACUUUCCUGACCUUUCAUAUGCAAAA